rnacentral:rRNA from 1 species
CCUACGGGUGGCAGCAGUGAGGAAUAUUGGUCAAUGGGCGCGAGCCUGAACCAGCCAAGUAGCGUGAAGGAUGACGGCCCUACGGGUUGUAAACUUCUGUUAUAAAGGAAUAAAGUGAGGCACGUGUGCCUUUUUGUAUGGACUUUAUGAAUAAGGAUAGGCUAACUCCGUGCCAGCAGCCGCGGUAAUACGGAGGAUCCGAUCGUUAUCCGGAUUUAUUGGGUUUAAAGGGAGCGUAGAUGGGUUGUUAAGUCAGUUGUGAAAGUUUGCGGCUCAACCGUAAAAUUGCAAUUGAUACGGGCAGUCUUGAGUACAGUUGAGGUAGGCGGAUUUCGUGGUGUAGCGGUG